UACGUAGGGGGCAAGCGUUGUCCGGAAUCAUUGGGCGUAAAGCGCGUGUAGGCGGCUCGGUAAGUCCGCUCUGAAAGUCCAGGGCUCAACCCUGGGAUGCGGGUGGAUACUGCCGAGCUCGAGUCCGGAAGAGGCGAGUGGAAUUCCUGGCGUAGCGGUGAAAUGCGCAGAUAUCAGGAGGAACACCAAUGGCGAAGGCAGCUCGCUGGGACGUGACUGACGCUGAGACGCGAAAGCGUGGGGAGCAAACAGG
rnacentral:rRNA from 1 species